ensembl:snoRNA
UCAGAUUCACUUAGUAGUUUGUUGCAGCCUAAGCUUGGGCAGAUUUUCCGUCUGUCACAAAAACAGUCUCAGGGUUGUGACCGCCUCUACCUACCAAGGUGCUGUAGCUGCAUGGAGACAGGCAA